rnacentral:rRNA from 1 species
UAGGAUAGGUGGGAGGCUUUGAAACGGGCACGCUAGUGUUCGCGGAGCCGCCCUUGAAAUACCACCCUGGACCUAUUUGGUAUCUAACACCGACCCAUGAAUCUGGGCGGUGGACAGUUUCAGUUGGGCAGUUUGACUGGGGCGGUCUCCUCCUAAAGAGUAACGGAGGAGCCCAAUUGGUACCCUCAGCCUGGUUGGCAAUCAGGCAUCGAGCGUAAAGGUAGAAGGGUGCUAAACUGCGAGACUGAUAGGUCGAGCAGGUACGAAAGUAGGGCUUAGUGAUCCGGUGGUCCCGCAUGGAAGGGCCAUCGCUCAACAGAUAAAAGGUACUCCGGGGAUAACAGGCUUAUC